AGUGCACGAGUCAGGUCACAGAAUGACUGUGGAAUUUUGAUUUUACUGCAUGUGACACCAGGCAAAUGAUUAAGUUGUAAAGACCAAUCCCCACCAUUAGUGGUCAGGAACUGGGAGUGUCUGGCUGAAGAAACAAUCUUUCCCUUCAUCAUCCAGUUUCAAUAGAUACGUCUGCGACCAUGGUGCAGUGUACUUCUGAGGAAGAUUGACAUGAUCAAUGGAAGAUGCUUUGGAAUGGUUACUUCAGCUUAACUUAUCUAUUCCCAUGAAACUUUGGCAGCCGCUUAAAUUGGGCCAAAAUGUACUGGUCUCCAUGUCACAAGGAAAUCUGCAGACACAGGAAAUUCAAGCAACACACACAAAAUGCUGGUGGAACGCAGCAGGCCAGGCAGCAUCUAUAGGAAGAAGCACUGUCGACAUUUCAGACAGAGACCCUUCGUCUGCAUGUGUCCUAAGUAAAUAAUUCACUGUAUUGUCAAAGAUGGGAAAAACUAAGUGAUAGAGUACCGACUAAAGUGGUCAAGAUAACAAUUAGGGUAAAAACUCGAGAUGGUAAUAGAAAAGCGGUGUGAAAGGAACGGGAUAGUUACAAUCAAGGAAGAGAAAAAAAUAGGGUGUGGUUACAUUAAAUUGUUUAAUUCCAUGUUGCAGCCCUAGGGAUGCCAUGCAUUCAAGCAGCUGAUGAGGUGCUAUUCCUCAAGGUUGCAUUGGUGUCUGUAGAGAAUGGAAGCAGGAUGAUGAAAUAAAAUAACUGGUGACCACAAGUUCAAGUCACUUUUGCAGAUUGACUAGAAGUACCCUGCAAAGUAGUCAACUAAUUUGCAUUUGGUUUUUCCAGAGCACAGGAAAGCAGAUCCUGAGCUCUGAAUGCAGAUUGGUAGAAGUGCAAGUAAUUUGCUGUUUCACUUGGAAGAAGUCUGAGGCCUUGGAUCAUGGAAGAGAGGGGUGGGGAAGAGUUAACAAGGGUGAACACUGCAUGCUAUGAGAAGCAGUGUAACAGGGAGAGUUGGAAGAACAGAUUAGAAAAGCUGAGAGGGAACAGUUCAAUUGAAAUGCUGAAAACUGUUCCUGGCGGUAGAAUCUUGUUGCUGAUAGCAUUUUAGAAUAUGGUCUAUUGAACAUGAAAACUGGUAUGUCAGAGUGCAAGCUCAUGAGUAACCCAGCCUUUGCAGUGGCUGAGAAAAUUAACAUUGAGAAUACAACUAUAACAUAGGAGUCAAAGUUUGGAAACAGCAGCUGUUGUAAAGGGAAAGCCAGGGUUAAAGAAAAAGACAAUCUCAAAGACACUGAUGUGGAAUAACUUGACAGCUGAACAGAUGCAGUACAGAUAUAGAAAUCUGGAGGACAGAAUGGAGCCCUUUCUGAAAGCAGCUGGAUGGCACAUUGGUGUGGGAAUUGGUGGUAUUAUAAUCAAGAUCAUUACUUAACCCAUCCCCUGGAGGAAACCUAUGCAGUUAUAACAUGCAAACUCCACACCAACAGCACCCAAAGGUCAGUAUCAAACCUACAUCAACUAUCAGACAGCAGCGUUAACUGCUGCUCCACCAUGCCAAGCCCUGCAGAGAGCAGAUCAAUGAAAAGUCAGUGACCACAGAUGAAAAGUGACCUGAUUUCUGCUCAUAGGGAUAUUGUCCAGUGAGAGUACAAGGUGGUGUCUGGGAGGUCUGGUUGUCAAUUCACCACAACAGUACUACCCUCAAUCCUAAGUGAGUGAACUGCUGCAAGUUCAGAGUCUGGGUACACCUCCAACAUUGAUCUACUAACGUACAACACAAGAUGGAGGAAUGUCUUCUGUCUGGUGACUACAGCUCUCUGGACUUAGUACUGAAUUAAAUAAUAUCAGGUAGCAAUUCCUCUUUCAUGACCCUUUCUACUUCAUUUUGCUUCUCCCCAACCCCAGCUCUAAAUCCUGGUAAUUUUAGACUUUUUAGUCAGAUCUGCUCUCAAUAUUCUGCACACAGUUUCCAAUACUGGUCUGCCAAAUCUCAUGGACUCCAAUAUCACAACACGCCUCACAAAUCCAGUAAAGGUUUGCUGCAUCCUACACACAGGACAGCUGGUUGCAGUGAGGCCCUUGUCAUUUCUCUGCAAUAUCACACCUACCAAAUCAUAUUCACUAAAUAUGAAAUGUGCCUUUUCAUGGGGCACAUUUUUAAUUAAUCCCAGAUGAAAAAGAAACAGAACAGCGAUUAUAGUUUUGUUUAAUCUAUUUUUCUGAAGCAGGUUUCAAUAUAGUGACAGAAUUUGUAUCAGGGAACACUUUUCAUCUAGUGGUCAUAAUGCCAUUAGUUUCGAGAUUACUAUGGAGAAGGAUAGGUCUGGUACUUGGGUCAAGAUUCCAAAUUGGAAAAAAAAACAAUUUUGAUUGAAUAGGCAAAGGUGUGAUUGGUAAGUGGGUGGCCUUCAACGACAAAUGAAAGUAUUGAGUACAGGACUUGGAAUGUUAUGUUGAAAUUGUAUGAGGUACUGGCAUAGCCUAAUUUGGAGUAUUGUGUGCAGUUCUGGUCACCCAUCUACAGGAAAGAUGUAAACAGGAUUGAAAGAGUGCAGAGAAUAUUUACAAAGAUAUUGUCAGAACUUAAGGACCUGAAUUAUAGGGAAAGGUUAAAUAGGUUAAGAUUGUUUCCUGCAGCAUAGGGGAAUGAGGAAAGAUUUGAUGGAGUUAUACACAGUUAUGAGAAGUAUUGAUUGGGUAAAUGCAAGCGGGCAUUUUCCACUGAGAGUUGGUGUGACUAGAACUAAAAGGGUUAAGGGUGAAAGGUAAAAUGUUUAAGGGGAAACUGAGGGGGAACCUCUUCACUCAGAAGGUGCUGAGAGUGUGGAACAAGCUGCCAGUGGAAGUGGGAAUGCAGGUUUGAUUUCAGCAUUUAAGAGAAAUGUGGAUAGGUUCAUGGAUGGGAGGGACAUGGUCCAGGUGCAGGUUGAUGGGACUAGGCAGAUUAACAGUUCAGCACGGACUCGAUGAGCCAAAGCGCCUGUUUCUUUGCUGUGGUGUUCUAUGACUAUAAAUACCCAGGACAUUUUCACUUUUAGAUGGAUCAGAGUGGAGUUACAUUACUCAGCUUUCUCAAGACAGUAAAUAAGUUACUCACUCAGUGAAUCCUACAGAAACAUGGAAAAGGAAGUGAACUGAGUGAAUGUCCAAAAGGUUGUAACUUGCAACCUCUGUACUGAGUAAUAGCCAAGUCUCUACAAUCAGAUCCAAAGCUGGGCAACGAGAAUCUGCCAUCUACCCUAACAAGCAUUUCUGCUGCCAGUGAUCAGAUCAAUUCUGAGCAGAAAUCAUACUAAGUAAUGAAAGACUUAGGGAUGAAUGAACCUAAAAUAAUAUGUCAUCUCCUUUGCUACUGCUGCUUACAUAAGCAAAUAAAGAGGUUAGGAGAGCUCUAAAGAGAGCAUACAGUGCAUUACUGAGGGCAGUAACUAUUGACUAAACAGCAAUGUCAGGUAUGUCAAGGUACCAGAAUUACAUUACAUGAUUUAUCCAGUUCAUGAUGUGUACAAUUUCCAAUUUGCCAAUUAUACAUACUACACCUACAAAUACUAAACAUUAUCAACAGACAAUAGGUCAUCCACUCAAUGUAAGUAACCUCUCUACAGAUACUAACCAGACCUGUUGAGCAUCUCCUAUACACAAUUCCAUUUAGCAUCUGCAAUUCAGCUCAAAAUUACAGAGGAAUCCACAAUGGCAGCUUGCGCUUAAAAAGCAAGCCCAGCUAACUAAAACCUCACCCAGUGCUCCCAGGAACCAGGCACUGCAGAAGCAAUAUUACAUCCUCUGAGGGACAAUCCAGGCUGACACCUUAUCUUUCAAAAUAAUGAAGUGGCAUUUCUCCAUUCCAAUACAUGCCAGGUAAGAGGGUUUUGCUGUUUAUUAAAUUUCUAAAACAAUACAACAUCAAGACAUUGAUAGGCGUAUUAGAAAAACUGACAUAGAACAAACCACUGGCAAAUGGACAUCAGAAUCAGUGGAGAAUCAAUUGAGCAGAGAGAUUACAGCAAUGAUAAAAUUUGACUGAAAAACUGCAACUUUUGGAAUUAAACUCCAAAGAAACAGAGUACAGAAUAAAUGAGGAGCAAAAUGUCUGAACAGUGUAUCAUUGCCCUACAAUUAAAUUUUAACAUCAUGUGUUGAGGGGUUGUGUACUUGAACUUGUAAAACUUUAAGAUGUCAACAUUGAAACAACAGCCUGCCUUUUAGUCUAUUGAAUUUGUUUGAUGAGACUAUGACUGUGAACAUAAUUCACUAACCAGGCCAACUGUUAACUCAUUUAUGACCUUUCCAAUUGCGUGCAGGGAUGGACAACAUAAGAGAUUUCAUUUUAAUUCAGAAAAAAAAAGCAGGUGGCCUUAUAACCCUUCAUCUGCUCCACAACUUAAAAAGUGGAAGGUACAGAUUUAGCCUCAGUUCCACUACAGACCAAAAAUUUACUUUACCUUAGCCCAGAACACAAGUGACUUGGCCUCUGCUGAAAUGAAGUAUAACAUUCUAAGGACUCGACUUCCAUAAAUUCCUCAUUUCCAAUUUGGAUGGGUGAUCCCCUGUUCAGGAUGUCUGCUCCCAACUCUCACCCCCCCCCCCCCCCAAACAAACUGCAAACAUCAAGCCUUCUCAUAAUCUUACAUGACAAUUCUAGGUGUUCUGGUUUCCUCCCACAUUCAAAGUCAUGCUAAUUGUCAGGUUAGUUAUGACUGUGAAUUAUCCCUGGUGCAGGUAGUGAGUGCAAAAAUAAAGAUAUUAGAGGGCAGGAAACUAAUGAGCACAUGUAGGAGGAGGAUUUGAAUUGUUCUGUGGGCCAGAACAAACUCCAUGGGGGACAGAAAAUAUUUUAAUUCAAUGAUCUUAUUCUUCUAAGAUUCAUUGAGUAAAGCUCCAAUCUUUCCUAACAAGUAAACAUCCUAAUCUGAAGAAUCAACAUACUGAACGUAUUGCAAACUGCCUCUAAUGCAGAUACAUUCAUUGUUAAAAAUAUUCCAGAACUAUGUAGUUUUCCAUGUGCAUUCUUAGCAAUGUCAUAUAUUUGCAACACAAGUUUAUCUCCUUUCCAAUAAACGAUAUUCUCAUUUUCUGUGCGAGCAGCUUGCAGACAACAUGCAGAUUGAGCAUUUCCUUUGUAUCAAAAAAUUCUGUUAUCAGUCAGCAUUUAAACAAUAUUCUGCUUUUCCUAUCCAGGCAGAUACCUCACAUUUUGUUACAUUAUAUACUUCAGCUGCAAAUUUUUGCUUAGUUACUAAGCUUUUUCACAACAGGAUUUCUCUCGUGGUAUUCCAGCCUACAAUUUCUAGAAAGAUAAGUACUGAUGCUUUCAAAUGGCAUUGUGUUUAAAGACAGACUUUUAGCUUGCAAUUACAGAGAUCAUGAAUUGAAUUUUAAUUGAACUGACAUUACUUCUUGCAACUUUCACAUACAUGAUUAAUUUUUUUUACGCUACAUCACCGUCUGAAUGUGCAAUCAUAGUAAUUUAUAAUAAAUAGAAUAGUCAACGUAAUAUAGAGUAUACUCAAAUCAGCAGGAGUUCAUCAGUCCAAUGGCCUGGUGGAAGAAGCUGUCCCUGAGAUUAUUGGUCCUGGCUUUUAUACUGCGGUAAUGUUUCCCGGAUGGUAGCAGCUAGAAUAGAUUGUGGUUAGUAUGAUUUGGGUCCCCAAUGAUCCUACAGGCCCUUUUUACACACUUGUCCUUGUAAAUGUCCUGAAUCAUGGGAAGUUCACAACUAUACUGCACUGGGAUGUCCACACCACUCUCUGCAGAGUCCUGCGAUUACAGUUCCCAUACCAGGCAGUGAUGUAGCCAGUCAGGAUGCUCUCAGUUGUGCCCCUGUAGAAAGUUUUUAGGAUUUGGGGGCCCCAUACCAAACUUCCUCAACCAUCUGAGGUGACGGGGGUGUUGUUGUGCCUUUUUCACCACACAGCUAGUGUGCACAGACCACGUGAGGUCAUCGGUGAUGUGGAUGCCAAGGAACAACAAUAGUAAUCUUGAAAGGGAUGAGGAUGGUAUCCAAGAAACAUUUACAAUACCAUGAGGACGCCAAGCUCAAGUUGGAGAAGCAACACCUCAUAUUCCUUCUGAGUAGCUUUCAACCUGUUGGCAUGAACAUCAAUUUUUCUAACCUCUGGUAAUUUCUCCUCCACCAUCCUUCUCUUUUCUCAUUCCUUGUUCUGGUUAUGCUCUCACAGUUUCUCUCUGGUUAUGCUGUUACAGUUUCUCUUCUCACCAGCCUAUUAUCUCCCUCUAGUUCCCCUCCUCUUUGCCUUCCCCCCCAUGAUUCACUGUCCUUUCCCAUUGUGGUAAACUACAUAUACCUGUCUGGACACGCCCCUCUGCUGACUGCUCCUGUGCCUCCUCCCACAGACCCCUGUAUAAAGGCGAUUGGAGGCACUGUUCUUCUCAGUCUCCAAGAUGCCGUGCUCCCUUUUGCUGCUAAUAAAAGCCUAUCAUUCACCUCCCAUCUCCGAGAGUUAUUGAUGGUGCAUCACACAUUCAAUUCCUUCUUCAGCCCUUUACUUCCUCCACUUAUCGCUUCCCAACUUCAGAAUAAAGUUUUAUAUCGCUGGCAUAUGUCAUGAAACAUGGUGUUUUGCAGUAGCAGUACAGUGCAAUACACAAACUAUGCAUUACUACAAGAAAAAAAUAGUAGUACAAAAUUAUCAGAAAGAAGUGACGUAGUAUAUGGGGGUUCACUGUCCAUUCAGGAAUUGAUGACAAAAUGUCACUGAUAAGCGGCGACUCUUGCGUGCACCCUUUUACUUCAUUCCCCAACACCCACCCCCACCAGGUCUAACCUAUUACCUGCCAGUUUGUACUCCUUCCUCUUCUCCCAACCUUCUUGUUCUGGUUUCUUCCCCACUUCCUUCCAGUCCUAAUGAAGGGCCUAGACCUGAAACAUCGACUGUUUAAUUUGCUCUAUUGAUGCUGCCUGACUUGCUGAGUUCCCGCAAAACUUAGUGUGUGAUCAUAAGACCAUAAGGUAUAGGAGCAGAAUUAGGCCACUUAGCCCGUUGAGUCUGCUCUACCAUUUCAUCAUGGCUGACUGGAAAAACAAAUCAGCCAGCCCUAAUCUCCUGCUUUUCCCCCCAUAUCCCCUUAUGCCCUGACCAAACAAGAAUCUAUCACACUCUGCCUUAAACAUACAUAAUGACUUGGCCUCCUCAGCUGCCUGUGAUAAAGAAUUCCACAAAUUCACCACUCUCUGCCCAAAGAGAUUCCACAUCAUCAUUCUACAAGAUCACCCCUCUAUUCUGAGGCUGUGUCCUGUGGUCUUAGACUCUCCCAUCGUAGGAAACAUCCUUUCCAUAUCCACUAUCAAGGCCUUUCACCAUUUGAUAGGUUUCAAUGAGAUAACCCAUCAUUCUUAUGAAUUCCAGUGAAGAAAGCCCAGGCAUAUCAAACUCUUCAUAUGCUAAGUCAUUCAAUCUUGGAUUCAUUUUCGUGAACCUCCUCGGAACCUUUUCCAGUUUCAGUACAUCCUUUCAAAGAUAAAUCUGAUCACAAUACUCCAAGUGAGUCCUCACCAGUACUUUAUAAAGUCUCAACAUAACAUCCUUGCUUUUAUAUUCUGGUCCUCUUGAAAUGAAUGCUAACAUUGCAUUUGCCUUCCUCACCACAGGCACUACCUGCAAAUUGACCUUUAGGGAAUCCUGCACAAGGACUCACAAGUCACCUUUUAAAUCUCAGUUUUUUUGUAUUUUCUGUCCAGUUAGAAAAGUUAACCCUUUCAUUUCUUAUACCAAAGUUCAUGAUCAUGCACUUCCCAACACUAUUCCAUUUGCCAUUUCUUUGUCCCCUCUCCUAGUCUAAGUCCUUCUGUAGCCUCUCUACUUCCUUAAAAUUACCUGCCCCCCCGUCACCUACCUUCAUAUCAUCUGCAAACUCUGCAGCAAAGCUAUCAGCUCCAUUAUCAAAAUCAUUGACAUACAAGAUAAAAAGAAUCAGUCUCAAUACAGACCCCUGUGGAACACCGCUAGUCACUGGCAACCAGACAGAAACUGCCCCCUCUAUUCCCACUCCUUGCCACUUGCCAAUCAGCCACUAUUAAUCUCCUUUGUCUAUCUUGCUUGUUAUAUCUUCAAUGAACCCAACAGAUUUGUCAGGCAAGAUUUUCCCUUGUGGAAACCAUGCUGACUAAGGCUUAUUUUAUCAUGUGCAUCCAAGUACCCCGAGACCUCAUCCUUAAUAAAGGGCUCAAAACUCUUCCCAACCACUGAGGUCAGACUAACUGGCCUAUCAUUUCCUUUCUUCUGCCUCUCUCUCUUCUUGAAGAGUAGAGUGACAUUUGCAAUCUUCCAGUCAUCCAGAAUCAUGCCAGAAUCUAGUGAUUCUUGAAAGAUCAUUACUAAUGCCUCCACAAUCUCUUCAGCCUCCUUUUUCACAACACUGAAGUGUACACCAUCUGGUCCAGGUGACUUAUCUACCUUCAAAUCUUUCAGUUUUCCCAAGAACCUUCUCUCAAGUUAUGGUAACUUCACACACUUCAUGACCGCUGAAACUUCCACCACACUGCUAAUGUCUUCCACAGUAAAGACAGAUGCACAAUACUUAUUCAGUUCAUUUGCCAUUUCAUUGGCCCCCUCCAGCAUUGUCUUGCAGUAGUCCAAUGCCCACUCUUGCCUCUUGUUUACAUUUACGUAUCUGAAGAAACUCUUUAAUAUUAUUGGCUGGCUUACUUUCGGAUUCCAUCUUUACCUUCUUAAUGAAUUUUUAGUUGUUUUCUGUUGGUUUUUAAAAGCUUCCCAAUCCUCACUUGUCGCUAAUCUUUGCUCUACUAUAUGCCCUCUCUUUCGCUUUGACUUCUCGUUAGCCAAAGUCAUACUUCCUCUUUAGAACGCACAUAUCCUGUGCCUUCCAGAUUGCUUCCAGAAAUUCCAGCCAUUGCUGCACUGCCGUCAUCCCUGCCAGUGUUCUUCUCCAAUCAAUUCUGGCUAACUCCUCUCUCUCGUGCCUCUGCAAUUCCCUUUACUCCACGUGUAGGUCAGUCUUGGAGCUUUUAAAGCAGAGCAGCUGGAAUUUUCAUUUCAAAACUAUACUGGCAAUUCAGGUCACUCCUAAUGCUACCCAUUCAGGAAAAUAUUGCUAUUAGCUUGAUUGUUUUACUCAGCUAUCAUGAAUUGGGAUUAUCCAGAUUAAAUUUGGUACUGACAUAAUAUAGGAUCUUGCACAGAUUAUACCAUUUAUGAUGAUACUCUAAAUGUCAAGGAAGACUUAUCUAGCACAUUUUCUCAAAUUAGAAAAAUUAUUCCUUUAAUCUCUUCUACUAUGCAGAUUAAAACACAGGCACGUUAGGGCAUAUUUCGAAGACAGAUUUCUGCUUUUGGUCUCCUUCAAUACAUUGCAGAACAGAUAGCCUACAAAAUCUUCCAAAACAAGCAAAUGCGGAAGAUGGUUUAUCUGAGUUUUCAGAGCAAAGGCAAUUUUUUUUUCCCAUAAGCUCUGGCAGCAUUCUUUCUGUCUGCGUGUUUGUAUUUUUAAAUGGUAUCUUGGUUUUAAUUAGUUUCAACUUUUAUUAAUAUGAUAUCAUAGUCUUACGAUUGCCAGUGAAUAUUUGAAAAAACAUGUUCUAAUCCUGAAAAAAAAGUUGCUGGAGAGAAAAAUAAGAUCCUUUUUUCAGUUCAUUUUCACAUUUAUUUCAAAGCAAUCAUUUAAAAAGGCAUAUUGUGUCAAGAUCCUGUUUGUUUUGUUUUUGUGCAUAUGUUUUUUAUUCAAGAUAGCCAUAAAUCAAAAACUGCGCA